CCGUGCUAGAUGGGGAGGUGGCGGUGCCCUGUAACCCGCAAUCCGCCAUAGCGGGGUUGAAUCCCCACUUACGGCACAAUGCUUUUGGGGUCUGACUGUUGCAAGUGGUGUUGAGAGUUGGGUCCCGCGCAACGGAAACUUAUGAACCCCGUCAGGCCCGGAAGGGAGCAGCGGUAAGUAAGCACUUUCGUGUGCCGUGGGUGAACCUGAUUGGAGCUAACUACAACAGUAACGCCCAGGAGGUUGUGACAAAGGUGGGUGCACGG
rnacentral:SRP_RNA from 1 species